rnacentral:rRNA from 1 species
ACUCAAAGGAAUUGACGGGGGCCCGCACAAGCGGCGGAGCGCGUUGCUUAAUUCGAUGCGAAGCGAAGAACCUUACCUGGGUUUGACAUUCCGGAAGUAGGCGCCUGAAAGGGUUGCCCACUCGUAAAGUCGGGAACCGGGACAGGUGUUGCAUGGCUGUCGUCAGCUCGUGCCGUGAGGUGUUGGGUUAAGUCCCGCAACGAGCGCAACCCUCGUCCUAUGUUGCGACCGGGUUAUGCCGAGCACUCAUAGGAGACUGCCGGGGAAACCCCGGAGGAAGGAGAGGACGACGUCAAGUCAGCAUGGCCCUUAAGCCCAGGGCUGCUAACGCGCUACAAUGCGCGGUACAACGGGCUGCAAUCCCGCAAGGGGGAGCCAAUCCCGAAAAGCCGCGCCCAGUUCGGAUCGGGGUCUGCAACCCGACCCCGUGAAGUUGGAGUCGCUAGUAAUGGCAGAUCAGCACGCUGCCGUGAAUGCGUUCUCGGGCCUUGUACACACCGCCCGU